rnacentral:tRNA from 1 species
AAGGAGGUAGCUUAAGUAAAGUGUUUGAUUUACAUUCAAUUGAUGUAGGAUAGAUUCUUGCAGUCCUUA